rnacentral:tRNA from 1 species
GAGAUCGUUGGCGAGGUAGCGCACGGACGCCUCGAGCGCGGCCUUGGCGACGCCCAUGACGUUGUAAUGCGGCAUGACCUUU